rnacentral:rRNA from 1 species
CGUAGGGUGCGAGCGUUAAUCGGAAUUACUGGGCGUAAAGCGUGCGCAGGCGGUUUUGUAAGCCAGAUGUGAAAGCCCCGGGCUCAACCUGGGAAUGGCAUUUGGGGCUGCAAGGCUUGAGUGCGGCAGAGGAGACUGGAAUUCCUGGUGUAGCAGUGAAAUGCGUAGAUAUCAGGAGGAAUACCGAUGGCGAAGGCAGGUCUCUGGGCUGACACUGACGCUCAUGCACGAAAGCGUGGGGAGCAAACAGGAUUAGAUACCUGGUAGUCCACGCCCUAAACGAUGUCGACUGGUUGUUGGGGGUUUGGACACUCUCAGUAACGAAGCUAACGCGUGAAGUCGACCGCCUGGGAGUACGGCCGCAAGGUUA